AUUGAACGCUGGCGGCAGGCCUAACACAUGCAAGUCGAGCGGAGCGGCGGACGGGUGAGUAAUGCCUAGUAAUCUGCCUGGUAGUGGGGGAUAACGUCCGGAAACGGGCGCUAAUACCGCAUACUAUCAGAUGAGCCUAGGUCGGAUUAGCUAGUGGGUGGGGUAAAGGCCUACCAAGGCGACGAUCCGUAACUGGUCUGAGAGGAUGAUCAGUAACACUGGAACUGAGACACGGUCCAGACUCCUACGGGAGGCAGCAGUGGGGAAUAUUGGGCAAUGGGCGAAAGCCUGAUCCAGCCAUGCCGCGUGUGUGAAGAAGGUCUUCGGAUUGUAAAGCACUUUAAGUUGGGAGGCGUUACCAACAGAAAAAGCACCGGCUAACUACGUGCCAGCAGCCGCGGUAAUAC
rnacentral:rRNA from 1 species